CAGCAGCCGCGGUAAUACGAAGGGGGCUAGCGUUGUUCGGAAUCACUGGGCGUAAAGGGUGCGUAGGCGGAUUCUUAAGUCAGGGGUGAAAUCCCGAGGCUCAACCUCGGAACUGCCUUUGAUACUGGGGAUCUUGAGUCCGGAAGAGGUGAGUGGAACUGCGAGUGUAGAGGUGAAAUUCGUAGAUAUUCGCAAGAACACCGGUGGCGAAGGCGGCUCACUGGUCCGGAACUGACGCUGAGGCACGACAGCGUGGGGAGCAAACAGGAUUAGAUACCCCGGUAGUCCCUGUCUCUUAUAC
rnacentral:rRNA from 1 species